CACGUAAGGGGCGAGCGUUGUUCGGAAUUAUUGGGCGUAAAGGGCGCGUAGGCGGUCCUGUAAGCCCGGCGUGAAAACCUGGAGCUCAACUCUGGGCCUGCGCUGGGAACUGCGGGACUAGAGUCAUGGAAGGGAAGUUGGAAUUCCAGGUGUAGGGGUGAAAUCGGUAGAUAUCUGGAAGAACACCGGUGGCGAAGGCGAACUUCUGGCCAAUGACUGACGCUGAGGCGAGAAAGUGCGGGGAGCAAACAGG
rnacentral:rRNA from 1 species